rnacentral:lncRNA from 1 species
UAGGGCUGCAUCUCCUUGGGCUACUUCUCCAAGGAUCGCCUCUCCAAGAGCAGCUUCUUUGAGCGUCAUCUCUCCUAGGGCAGCUUCUCCAAGGGCUACCUCUCCUAGGGCAGAUUCUCCUAAAGCUACCUCUCAUAGGGCAGCUUCUCCAAAGGCUAUCUCUCCUACGGCAGCUUCUCCAAAGGCUAUCUAUCCUAGGGCAGCUUCUCCAACGGCUACCUCUCCUAAGGCAGCUUCUCCAAGGGUCUCUUCAACUAGAGCUAAUUAUCCUGAGGUGAGUAGUAACCACAAAGAGAUUAGCUCUGCUAACGGACUAGAA